rnacentral:misc_RNA from 1 species
AAGCAAGCCAAUUGCUUGGAUCGAUGAUCAUGGUAAAUGCUUCUCUCCGGAUUCAUGUGCUGGAGUAAUACCAUCUGAACCUCUGCAGCAUGGAAAAAAUGAGUUCUUGAAAAGUUUUCAUGAUCUAAGCAGUAGUUAUGAAGCUCAUGAACAUGAUGGGAUGUCUGCAGCUGAAAGCUCAAGUUCAGCGUCUUUUGAUGCAG